rnacentral:lncRNA from 1 species
CAAGGUGCUUUUUCAAAUUUAUAGACACAUACAAUGAUGCUAAUCUAUGGUAGUGCUGGUGCCCAAUUUAUAGUCUAAUAUUCCCCAGCAUUAGUUUCAAAUUACCAAAUCUGCUUAACCUAGGAACUUUCAGUACGUAGGAUCUAAAAUGAUCAUAUAAGAAAGCAUGGAUAAGCAUGAUAGGUCAUAAUUUAUAACUAAUGUGGAAAUUGAGAUACAUGAUUACUUGACAAGAAAUAGAUUCCAACUGGAAAAUGCAUACAGGAGUAGACUCUAGACUUCACUAAAAUGACAAACUCGAAUUCAUAUCACUUUAGUUAUGUGAAUGAAUACUAUAGACUACAAUGGAACCCCUAAAGACUCAAUGCAGAUAAUUGAUUCCCUUUAUUCUUAGAUUUAUUGAAAGUUUCAUAGCCAAGCAUGUUCAAGGACGUGGGUUUGUUCCUGCAAUGCCAGCACCACGACCUGCUGGAAUUGGCACCUCAAAACCAGGGUUUGGAACGAAUGUGUCAUCACCACCUGGAAGCUGGCGAUUUCCACCAAUUGUGCUGCCAACAUGGCGGCCACUGCUGCCGGUGUGGGUGCUAGUGCCGAUAGUGUGUGGAUUGUGAUGUUUGAAAACUGGUGGCAGCAACACUCGUCCAAGGCCUGGAAUGAGCACACUACGGUCAUGUUUUAGAAAUUCAGGCUGUUUCAUUUGAUCAUCAUUCUUCGAGAUGUCACGUGCUGCAAUGG